rnacentral:lncRNA from 1 species
AUUCAAGGUGUGAUUGGCGCCAAUGCGCAAGUGGAGGCUCCUAGUGAUGGAACCUCUGAUGAGGGGAGCACCCCUAGUUCUAGCCACGGGGGAGAGUCGGUGGCCUCGGUAGGGAAUUAGGCUAGAACGCUUUUGAACCACUUUUGAUUCCAUGAGAACUGUAGAUCAGGGAAAGAACCCUUAGCUAGCCAUUUUUGUACGUUUGGACUAGCUUUGUAUAUAUAACUUUUGAUGACACCGUUCUCUGAUGGACUUCCU